rnacentral:lncRNA from 1 species
UCCAGCUGGCUCCGUAGAUUCGCUUCUGCUCUACAUCUCAUAGAAAAAAUGCUUGUAUGCAUAUAGAUGCAGAUACAAAUAUGCAAAUCUCUCCUACAAGGAAAGCAAAAAGAGAGAUAGUUGAGAUAGGGAAAGAACACUCCAGUGUGCAGCAAAGCUGGAUGGAAAAUGAAUACAAAAAUCACAUUUUGUGGUUUAUACGUUUGAAAAGCCACCUGGAGUGUUAAUGGGAGGUCAUGAUCCGAAAGAAAGCAUUGAACACCAUGAGCAGGGGGAAAAUCACCACCUGCCUCUUCCUGAAUGCUUCCCUGUGUUGGGAUGUGCCCCCAGCCCAGCUCCCUGCUGGUGCACCAUCAGUGCUCAGGUAGAGCAUAAGAAGAGGCACUGCAGUCAGGAGCUGCAAUCCCGCAGCUCACGUGGGGCCACUAUUGUUCCAGCAGCCCUGGUUCCCGUGAGGAACUGAGUCGGUUCAAAAGAAAAUGAAAUAAUG